GAUGAAGAACGUAGCGAAAUGCGAUAAGUAAUGUGAAUUGCAGAAUUCAGUGAAUCAUCGAAUCUUUGAACGCACAUUGCGCCCGCUAGUAUUCUGGCGGGCAUGCCUGUCCGAGCGUCAUUUCAACCCUCAAGCCCCCGGGCUUGGUGUUGGGGAUCGGCGAGCCUCCGCGCCCGCCGUCCCCUAAAUCUAGUGGCGGUCUCGCUGUAGCUUCCUCUGCGUAGUAGCACACCUCGCACUGGGAAACAGCGCGGCCACGCCGUUAAACCCCCAACUUCUGAACGUUUGACCUCGGAUCAGGUAGGAAUACCCGCUGAACUUAAGCGUAUCAAUAAGCGGAGGA
rnacentral:misc_RNA from 1 species